ACGGGGGGAGCAAGCGUUGUUCGGAUUUACUGGGCGUAAAGGGCGCGUAGGCGGCCACUGCAAGUCAGUUGUGAAAUCUCCGGGCUUAACCCGGAAAGGUCAACUGAUACUGCAGGGCUAGAGUGCAGAAGGGGCAACUGGAAUUCUCGGUGUAGCGGUGAAAUGCGUAGAUAUCUGGAGGAACACCGGUGGCGAAGGCGGCAUCCUGGACCGACAUUGACGCUGAGGCGCGAAAGCCAGGGGAGCAAACGGGA
rnacentral:rRNA from 1 species